GCGAAAUUACGUCAUGGAAAACUUCUAGACGUUUGAAGUUAUGUUUAUACAAGACGUAAAAUGUUUAAAACCUUGUGACCUUGAGCUUGAAUCAAACCAAGACCUUUGAUUAAUUAAUUAUAUUCGUUUAUUUUUACACUGUCGACGUACAUGGUGAUCAAUCAACUAACACAUGAGUCGAAGUUAUCAAAAUUUCCAUUCUGUGUAUUGUGAAUCUAAAAACAGAUUGAGGUCUUUGGACUUGUGUUGUAAUUCCGUUAACUCUUGAAGGGUAUGGUUACCAUGUGUGUUAAGUUGAAGACCAAGAUCUACGUCGGAUUCCAGUAACGUGACGCCUACAACUCAUCACCUAGUCAUAGCCACAUCCUAGAGAGACCUGUGACGCACCCUCCGGCCCCUGACCCAGAUUCUUCCCGGAUCGGGGUCGGGACAGGACACCCCCGCUGCCCACCAACGCCUCAACCGUGACGGUAAUUUUCUACUGGUGGGGAAUACCAAAAUCUUAUUCUCGCCCAGAACACUUUCUCUGUUCGUCCUUCAGAUCGCCAGUUCAUGCUUCUCCCUCUCCCCGCCCAAACACUACUGCGCAGUGUCUCCGUGAUGACCGCUUCAUGCCUGAAAGUUGCACACGUUACUACUGAGCUUCUAUAUCCGAACCAAAAAAACAAUAGAUAAAAUUAA